rnacentral:rRNA from 1 species
AUUGAACGCUGGCGGCAUGCCUUACACAUGCAAGUCGAACGGCAGCACGGGUGCUUGCACCUGGUGGCGAGUGGCGAACGGGUGAGUAAUACAUCGGAACGUACCUUAUCGUGGGGGAUAACGCAGCGAAAGCUGUGCUAAUACCGCAUACGCCCUGAGGGGGAAAGCGGGGGAUCGCAAGACCUCGCGCGAUUAGAGCGGCCGAUGCCUGAUUAGCUUGUUGGUGGGGUAAAAGCCCACCAAGGCGACGAUCAGUAGCUGGUCUGAGAGGACGAUAAGCCACACUGGGACUGAGACACGGCCCAGACUCCUACGGGAGGCAGCAGUGGGGAAUUUUGGACAAUGGGGGCAACCCUGAUCCAGCAAUGCCGCGUGAGUGAAGAAGGCCUUCGGGUUGUAAAGCUCUUUUGUCAGGGAAGAAACACCGGCUCUAACACAGUCUGGGAAUGACGGUACCUGAAGAAUAAGCACCGGCUAACUACGUGCCAGCGCCGCGGUAA